GGAAAGCAUUCUGUGGCCACCUCUGAGC
rnacentral:piRNA from 1 species